GGAUUAGAUACCCUGGUAGUCCAUGCCGUAAACGUUGGGCACUAGGUGUGGGGGACAUUCCACGUUCUCCGCGCCGUAGCUAACGCAUUAAGUGCCCCGCCUGGGGAGUACGGUCGCAAGGCUAAAACUCAAAGGAAUUGACGGGGGCCCGCACAAGCGGCGGAGCAUGCGGAUUAAUUCGAUGCAACGCGAAGAACCUUACCAAGGCUUGACAUACACCAGACCGUUCUGGAAACAGUUCCUCCCCUUUGGGGUUGGUGUACAGGUGGUGCAUGGUCGUCGUCAGCUCGUGCUG
rnacentral:rRNA from 1 species